rnacentral:rRNA from 1 species
UACAUGGGGGGCAAGCGUUGUUCGGAAUUACUGGGCGUAAAGGGCUCGUAGGCGGCCAACUAAGUCACACGUGAAAUCCCCAGGCUCAACCUGGGAACUGCGUGUGAUACUGGAUGGCUUGAAUUCGGGAGAGGGAUGCAGAAUUCCAGGUGUAGCGGUGAAAUGCGUAGAUAUCUGGAGGAAUACCGGUGGCGAAGGCGGCAUCCUGGACCGACAUUGACGCUGAUGAGCGAAAGCUAGGGGAGCAAACGGG